rnacentral:rRNA from 1 species
AACGUAGGAGGCAAGCGUUAUCCGGAUUUACUGGGCGUAAAGCGCGUGCAGGCGGCCCCAUAAGUGGGAUGUGAAAGCUCCUGGCUCAACUGGGAGAGGUCGUUCCAGACUGUGGGGCUGGAGGAUGGGAGAGGGAGGUGGAAUUCCGGGUGUAGUGGUGAAAUGCGUAGAUAUCCGGAGGAACACCAGUGGCGAAAGCGGCCUCCUGGCCCAUAUCUGACGCUCAGACGCGAAAGCUAGGGUAGCAAAC